rnacentral:lncRNA from 1 species
UACCCCUACCCUUGGGUAGAGAGGCUGUUUCCAAAUAGACCCCCGGCAUCCUUCCCUCUAAGAACUUCCCACCUUGCUCUUGGGGAGACUCGAAUCCACAACCUCUCGGUUGGAAGUGGGGGUUGCUUACCAUCAGAGCAACCCCUCUUGCCUUCAUAAUAAAAGGUGAAAAAUACACCAGCAAAAAGGUAUUACCUUCCCCUUUGAAUUGCUUCUGUUACAACACCAUGUGAACCUGGCUGUAACAUAAGGAAAUCAUUCUUUGAUUUCUGAAGAAGGCUUUAAUGCAAGAAUAGUAACAGAAAUGGCAUCAACUUGGAGGACAGGCAGAUAAUGAUAUCUGUGUUUUUCAACUGCAAGAAACGAUCUCUACGGCGAGCUAUGCUGUAAGACCGCCAUUUACGUGCACUACCUCAAGAUUGAAAAACCAACCAAGAGAGAGACCAGGCACGUAAUCUCGGAUGUUUUAGCAGUGGUGUAUCCACACUCCAAAGCAGCUCCACUCAAUUUGGUGACAAUGUCCGUAAUUCAAGAUACCACAGGUUAUUGCGAUUAAUCACCAUAUCCUGCACCUAGCCAGAUUAAUCAACAAGAAAUGAUAAACAACAACAAUUAUACUUGGCAAAAAACAAAAACUAAAACAAACAAAGACAACUACUAAGGAAAAUGAGAGUUUUUGCAUACUUAUAUCACCAAGACGAGAUGUUUCACAGCCUUAGAGCAAGGCAUCCAACUACAUCCAUAAAGAAAAGAAGAAAUAUUCUAUUCCAGAUACAACUAUUAAGAAAGAAAGUAGUUGAAAGUAUUCAUAGUUUAAGACGAAAAGUGAACUCACUGAUUAAUUGUGGUAUGUUUAAGUAACAAAUUAGAGAACAGAAGCAACUGGCCAGAGAAGUGUAAAAGUGUGUGCCAUGCCCACCUUCAGAGUUCUCUGAUUUGAUAUAGAACUAUGGUUUUAUAUGAAAAAAACAAAAUUCUGUUAAAGAUAAUACGUAUAGUGUCUUUCUUUGAGGGUAUGAGCUUCCUCCUACAUAGACUAGAAAAGAGAGUAUUAAUUCUUGCUAGACACGAGUUUGUCGUGAAGAUCAGUCCAUGACCAUUUGCCUAUGACUCUUUUCCAGAUGUUGAAGGUCAAGGAUGAAAGGAAUGUGAUGUUAUGCUAAAGAACAAUUUGAAGCUUGUAACAUAAUACUGGUAACUCGGAUUAACCACACAUUGAAAAGGAGUAUGCGAAAGUUAAUAAUCAACUGCAUUAGAAUAGGAUUCUAUGUACAAAUAAAAGCUCUCUCUUAACAACACUCAAGGAGUCUGAAUACUAGAAAACAAAGAAAUCCUUCUUUCAAGAUAUAUUCAAAGCAGCCCUUGACAUAAAUACCUCGUGGAAUACAUCAAAAGAAAUUACCUACAAAUGCUGCUUAAACUUCAUGAACAACGUAAUGUGUUGCACAAGUAGCUUAAAUUGCAUAAAAAACCUUCGAGGUUUUGCCCAAGUUCAAACUAAUUAAUAACUAUAGAUAUGAUGACUAAACUCGGAAAAAAUCAACAAAAGAAAAGGAUUUGCAGCACAAGCCAUGUAUUAUUUUCAGUUUGGGUCUCAACUACAAUAACACAAGCCAUGUCUCGUUAAUUCUCUAUGAUUUCUGAUUCUAGUCAAGCACAUUAUGUAGUAAGAGAGUAAUUAAGGCAAAGAUGAAAACGCCUUUAUGAAAUGCAACAGUAAAAAAAUGAACGGUAGUAAUAUUUGGAAUAGAAUGAGUCUGCACCAAGGGAUUUAUCUUGCGAGAAAUGAAACAUAUGCAGUAGAGAAAGCAACCUAAGCAUUCUAACUGAUUUCUGAUCAUAAGCCAGCAAAUGAAUGAGAAAAUAACUAAAGACUUGCAACAACAAAUAUCAUCAGUAUUUUGUUUAAUUAGUCUAUGUCCUCUACAAGACUGAUAUAGAUUCUUUCAAGUGUUCCCCUACUCUCCAAAACCUGCAACAUAUAAAGAGAAAAAACCAUCAGCGGUCGAAAAGAUCAAGAAAAGCAUACGAGCUUCAGACAGGGAAGUGGUAGUUGACAACUACGGCAUGCAAGAAACACAAGCCAAAGUACUUGCUAACUUUUAUCUCUAAACAUGGUUAACAGAAAGUGUUGAUAUGCAUAAGACCGGGCAUAUAAUGCAAGAGUCAUCUACCUCAGCUGUGGCGAAAAAAGCAGAACGCUUGUUCAAGCUGGCACAUAUUCUGCUUGAGUGAUGAGAAAUACCUUGCAACAGGAAGAGGAGCAAAGUUCUUAUGGAAAUAGUCAAAUGUCUGGAUUUGAGUCCCCCUUCCUUUUCACCAAAGGAGUCCUGUUAGAUAUGUAAAUAGUAGAACCCUAAUCCAAAGUGUAUUAGGAGUAUGUUAGGUUAUGUGUAUUAUAUAUAGGGCUCAUUGUAUCAUGUUUAAUAUCAAUUAUAUAUUUUUCUCCCGU